AUCGGCAGGUGGACGCUCAACCACUGCGCCACCAGGGAAGCACUAAAAGUUAUUCUUUUAAACAGAUUCACUCAACGGCUCCGCAUCCCACUGCGGUGUUUUGCAGUCUCUUGCAGUCCUGAAAGAACUAGCCUCAGUGAGCUACAGAGCCAAGCCACGCGGGGUAGAGAAGCCUCCUCUUUCGUGCAUAACCCUUUAAACCCUCCGGGAGGGUGUGGCACCAGGGCUUAUGGGAAAUGUAGUCUUACGUUCCCUGGCUCACACUGCGCGUGGUUCAGUAAGCCCUCUGCCGCGGCUCGUCCUGCGCACGUGCAGUUCACUAGCCCCGGUGUCUCGCUUUUCCGGGUCUUGCGGAGAAAAUCCUGGACCGUCCAGGUCUGCGCGCGCUCAGGGAGCGGGUGCUGCCUGAGUCAGAGCUGCGGCCUAGGUUCCUGUUCCUUUGCAAGUAGCAGUCUUUAUCCUGCUCAGAAUGAGCAAUGCUUCGCUAAUAUCACUACAUCCAGAAGACCUCACCAUGAUGGUGAAAGGUCUGGACCAAGUUUCAGGAAAGAUAGCUGUACAUACAGCCUUCUCUGUACUUUCCCAAAAGGAACAGAAGAAGAACAAGUCCCCGGUGAGUUGUUUAUUCAUUUCUCACAUUGUCUUCCAUUGCAAAAAUGAUUCAAGAUUAAAAUGAUAAAAAUUAUUAAGGAAUAUAUAGAGUUAACAGAUCUAAAACAAGGAAAAGUCAACAUUUAAUUAUAUGGAGGUAAUCAUAGUUGCUUUGUUAGUAUAUAUAUUACACAUAUUGUAUAACUCUCAUUUUUACAAUAAUAAUUAUGUGCG
rnacentral:lncRNA from 1 species